rnacentral:rRNA from 1 species
UGCGCAGGCUGGCUUGUCAGUCAGUGGUGAAAGCCCGGAGCUCAACUCCGGAACUGCCAUUGAUACUAUUAAUCUUGAAUACAGUUGAGGUGGGCGGAAUGUGUAGUGUAGCGGUGAAAUGCUUAGAUAUUACACAGAACACCGAUUGCGAAGGCAGCUCGCUAAACUGUUAUUGACGCUGAGGCACGAAAGCGUGGGGAGCGAACAGGAUUAGAUACCCUGGUAGUCC